rnacentral:rRNA from 1 species
GUACACUCCUACGGGAGGCAGCAGUGGGGAAUAUUGGACAAUGGGCGCAAGCCUGAUCCAGCCAUGCCGCGUGAGUGAUGAAGGCCCUAGGGUUGUAAAGCUCUUUCACCGGUGAAGAUAAUGACGGUAACCGGAGAAGAAGCCCCGGCUAACUUCGUGCCAGCAGCCGCGGUAAUACGAAGGGGGCUAGCGUUGUUCGGAUUUACUGGGCGUAAAGCGCACGUAGGCGGACUAUUAAGUCAGGGGUGAAAUCCCGGGGCUCAACCCCGGAACUGCCUUUGAUACUGGUAGUCUUGAGUUCGAGAGAGGUGAGUGGAAUUCCGAGUGUAGAGGUGAAAUUCGUAGAUAUUCGGAGGAACACCAGUGGCGAAGGCGGCUCACUGGCUCGAUACUGACGCUGAGGUGCGAAAGCGUGGGGAGCAAACAGGAUUAGAAACCCUGGUAGUCCCAU